rnacentral:tRNA from 1 species
GCGCCCGUGGCGGAAUGGCAGACGCCGCGGACUUAAAAUCCGCUGCCCGCAAGGGCGUGCCGGUUCGAAUCCGGCCGGGCGCACCA